AUUGAACGCUUGCGGCAGGCCUAACACAUGCAAGUCGAGCGAGCGGCGGACGGGUGAGUAAUGUAUGGGGACUGCCCGAUAGCGGGGGAUAACUACUGGAAACGGUGGCUAAUACAGCAUACUCUCGGCAAACCCAUAUGGGAUUAGCUAGUAGGUGGUGUAAAGGCUCACCUAGGCGACGAUCCCUAGCUGGUCUGAGAGGAUGAUCAGCCAAACUGGGACGGAGACACGGCCCAGACUCCUACGGAGGAAGCAGUGGGGAAUAUUGCACAAUGGGCGCAAGCCUGAUGCAGCCAUGCCGAGUGUAUGAAGAAGGCCUUAGGGUUGUAAAGUACUUUCAGCGGGGAGGCGUUACCCGCAGAAGAAGCACCGGCUAACUCCGUGCCAGCAGCCGCGGUAAUUC
rnacentral:rRNA from 1 species